rnacentral:rRNA from 1 species
UACGAAGGGGGCGAGCGUUGUUCGGAAUUACUGGGCGUAAAGGGCGCGUAGGCGGCGAUGCUAGUCAGAUGUGAAAGUCCUGGGCUUAACCUGGGGACUGCAUUUGAUACUGGAUUGCUUGAAUGCAGGAGAGGAUAGCGGAAUUCCCAGUGUAGAGGUGAAAUUCGUAGAUAUUGGGAAGAACACCGGUGGCGAAGGCGGCUAUCUGGACUGUGAUUGACGCUGAGGCGCGAAAGCGUGGGGAGCAAACAGG